rnacentral:rRNA from 1 species
GGAGCACCUUCGGGUGUGACUGCGUACCUUUUGUAUAAUGGGUCAGCGACUUAUAUUCUGUAGCAAGGUUAACCGUAUAGGGGAGCCGCAGGGAAACCGAGUCUUAACUGGGCGUUAAGUUGCAGGGUAUAGACCCGAAACCCGGUGAUCUAGCCAUGGGCAGGUUGAAGGUUGGGUAACACUAACUGGAGGACCGAACCGACUAAUGUUGAAAAAUUAGCGGAUGACUUGUGGCUGGGGGUGAAAGGCCAAUCAAACCGGGAGAUAGCUGGUUCUCCCCGAAAGCUAUUUAGGUAGCGCCUCGUGAACUCAUCUUCGGGGGUAGAGCACUGUUUCGGCUAGGGGGUCAUCCCGACUUACCAACCCGAUGCAAACUACGAAUACCGAAGAAUGUUAUCACGGGAGACACACGGCGGGUGCUAACGUCCGUCGUGAAGAGGGAAACAACCCAGACCGCCAGCUAAGGUCCCAAAGUCAUGGUUAAGUGGGAAACGAUGUGGGAAGGCACAGACAGCCAGGAUGUUGGCUUAGAAGCAGCCAUCAUUUAAAGAAAGCGUAAUAGCUCACUGGUCGAGUCGGCCUGCGCGGAAGAUGUAACGGGGCUAAACCAUGCACCGAAGCUGCGGCAGCGACACUAUGUGUUGUUGGGUAGGGGAGCGUUCUGUAAGCCUGCGAAGGUGUGCUGUGAGGCAUGCUGGAGGUAUCAGAAGUGCGAAUGCUGACAUAAGUAACGAUAAAGCGGGUGAAAAGCCCGCUCGCCGGAAGACCAAGGGUUCCUGUCCAACGUUAAUCGGGGCAGGGUGAGUCGACCCCUAAGGCGAGGCCGAAAGGCGUAGUCGAUGGGAAACAGGUUAAUAUUCCUGUACUUGGUGUUACUGCGAAGGGGGGACGGAGAAGGCUAUGUUAGCCGGGCGACGGUUGUCCCGGUUUAAGCAUGUAGGCUGGUUAUCCAGGCAAAUCCGGAUAAUCAAGGCUGAGGUGUGAUGACGAGGCACUACGGUGCUGAAGUAACAAAUGCCCUGCUUCCAGGAAAAGCCUCUAAGCAUCAGGUAACAUUAAAUCGUACCCCAAACCGACACAGGUGGUCAGGUAGAGAAUACCAAGGCGCUUGAGAGAACUCGGGUGAAGGAACUAGGCAAAAUGGUGCCGUAACUUCGGGAGAAGGCACGCUGGUGUGUAGGUGAAGUCCCUGCGGAUGGAGCUGAGACCAGUCGAAGAUACCAGCUGGCUGCAACUGUUUAUUAAAAACACAGCACUGUGCAAACACGAAAGUGGACGUAUACGGUGUGACGCCUGCCCGGUGCCGGAAGGUUAAUUGAUGGGGUUAUCCGUAAGGAGAAGCUCUUGAUCGAAGCCCCGGUAAACGGCGGCCGUAACUAUAACGGUCCUAAGGUAGCGAAAUUCCUUGUCGGGUAAGUUCCGACCUGCACGAAUGGCGUAAUGAUGGCCAGGCUGUCUCCACCCGAGACUCAGUGAAAUUGAACUCGCUGUGAAGAUGCAGUGUACCCGCGGCAAGACGGAAAGACCCCGUGAACCUUUACUAUAGCUUGACACUGAACAUUGAGCCUUGAUGUGUAGGAUAGGUGGGAGGCUUUGAAGCGUGGACGCCAGUCUGCGUGGAGCCAACCUUGAAAUACCACCCUUUAAUGUUUGAUGUUCUAACGUUGGCCCCUGACCGGGGUUGCGGACAGUGUCUGGUGGGUAGUUUGACUGGGGCGGUCUCCUCCCAAAGCGUAACGGAGGAGCACGAAGGUUAGCUAAUCCUGGUCGGACAUCAGGAGGUUAGUGCAAUGGCAUAAGCUAGCUUGACUGCGAGCGUGACGGCGCGAGCAGGUGCGAAAGCAGGUCAUAGUGAUCCGGUGGUUCUGAAUGGAAGGGCCAUCGCUCAACGGAUAAAAGGUACUCCGGGGAUAACAGGCUGAUACCGCCCAAGAGUUCAUAUCGACGGCGGUGUUUGGCACCUCGAUGUCGGCUCAUCACAUCCUGGGGCUGAAGUAGGUCCCAAGGGUAUGGCUGUUCGCCAUUUAAAGUGGUACGCGAGCUGGGUUUAGAACGUCGUGAGACAGUUCGGUCCCUAUCUGCCGUGGGCGCUGGAGAAUUGAGGGGGGCUGCUCCUAGUACGAGAGGACCGGAGUGGACGCAUCACUGGUGUUCGGGUUGUCAUGCCAAUGGCACUGCCCGGUAGCUAAAUGCGGAAGAGAUAAGUGCUGAAAGCAUCUAAGCACGAAACUUGCCCCGAGAUGAGUUCUCCCUGAGACUUUAAGUCUCCUGAAGGAACGUUGAAGACGACGACGUUGAUAGGCCGGGUGUGUAAGCGCAGCGAUGCGUUGAGCUAACCGGUACUAAUGAACCGUGAGGCUUAACCUU